rnacentral:rRNA from 1 species
UGGGGAAUAUUGGACAAUGGGGGCAACCCUGAUCCAGCCAUGCCGCGUGUGUGAAGAAGGCCUUUUGGUUGUAAAGCACUUUAAGCGAGGAGGAGGCUACCCUGACUAAUACUCAGGAGUAGUGGACGUUACUCGCAGAAUAAGCACCGGCUAACUCUGUGCCAGCAGCCGCGGUAAUACAGAGGGUGCGAGCGUUAAUCGGAAUUACUGGGCGUAAAGCGCGCGUAGGCGGUUUGUUAAGUCGGAUGUGAAAUCCCCGGGCUCAACCUGGGAAUUGCAUUCGAUACUGGCAAGCUAGAGUAUGGGAGAGGAAGGUAGAAUUCCAGGUGUAGCGGUGAAAUGCGUAGAGAUCUGGAGGAAUACCGAUGGCGAAGGCAGCCUUCUGGCCUAAUACUGACGCUGAGGUGCGAAAGCAUGGGGAGCAAACAGGAUUAGAUACCCAUGUAGUCCCUGAGCGGGCUGGCAAGGCGCAU